GAAGAUUGAGCUAACAGGAUUCACAUGUGCGUUGUAAUAGACAGAGAGGAGUCACUGAAAAAAUGAUGAAUUCUUUACUGAAAUGGGAAUGACUAUAUGAGGAACUGCUUUGGGAGGGAUUAUCAGGAACUUAAACUUGGACAUGUUAGGUCUGAGAUGCCUGACAUUUUAAAGGAAAAGCCAGGUAAUAAAUUAGGUUUGGGUCCAGGUAUAUGGGUUUGCAGUUCAGCAUGUAGAUAGCAUUCAAAGGCAAGGGGCUGGAUAGGAUCUUUAGGGAGCGAAUGUAGAUGAGAAAGAGAAGGGGACUAAAGAGAGCUGUGAAACACUCUAGUAUUGAAGGUUGAGGAGAUGAGAAGGAACCAGAACGGCAUCACAGUGUCCUGGAAGUCAAGAGAGGUUUGCUUCAGCGGAAUCAAAUCACAAAAUUGAGUGGGGGUAGGGUGGGAUUCCUCAUUACAACUGGCUUUUUCUUGCAGGUGACUCCUUCAGAUCAGGAUGCAGCAACAUUCUCAAGGAAGAGGAAACCAUCUUUAUACCACAAAGGUCUAAAGUCUGAUUCCACCGACAAGGGAGGUUCCCUGGGUGGUUGGAGUUUCAGGAUACGCGCAGAACUUCAAAUCCUCCCGUAUAUCUCCAUUUCAGUUCCCCAGUGCUCAUUUGAUACUGACCAAUGUGCUGUACGAUGCAAUGUAUGGGAGCCCCAAGAACUCCAUGCUCCAGGACUCUCAACUCCAGUUCUCAAAGUUCUCUGGUACAAGAAGAACUAAAUCUUGCACUCAUUUCGUCCAUCAAGAUCUUGGAGGAGCAGAGGCUGUGUUUGUACCCUGCCAGCUCUUGAAUCUCCCCUGGUUAGAAAAGGAAAAUGGCAGUUGACUUGGAUUUGAGAAGCAGGCUGUCGACACAGAUUGAU
rnacentral:lncRNA from 1 species